UACGUAGGGACCGAGCGUUGUCCGGAUUCAUUGGGCGUAAAGAGCUCGUAGGCGGCUGUUCAAGUCGAACGUGAAAACUCGGAGCUCAACUCCGAGCCUGCGUUCGAUACUGGACGGCUAGAGUCUGGUAGGGGGAUCUGGAAUUCCUGGUGUAGCGGUGGAAUGCGCAGAUAUCAGGAGGAACACCGAUGGCGAAGGCAGGUCUCUGGGCCAUAACUGACGCUGAGAAGCGAAAGCAUGGGGAGCGAACAGG
rnacentral:rRNA from 1 species